AGCAAAAUAUAGAGUAUACAACGGUAGUUUCACUCGCAGAGGAAAAUUAGGGUUUCAUUUCAUUUUCGCCUAUUUAAUUUGCAACCCACCCAUUCACAGCCUCGCUCGCUCGCUCCUUUCUGUGUUCUUCAAUUCUAAGCUUUUGUGAGUGAAGAGGCAAUAAAUUAGAGUCUCUGAGUUGCUUAUUCCGUGGUGAUUUCAGCGCUGUACGUUGCCGAUAAGAACUUUGAUCUGAGAAAUUUGCUUGUGUCUCUGUAGGCUCAUGCAUUCGGAUGUUCAUACAUUUUUUUUCUGAUAUUUUUUCAGAAUUUGAUUUCUGAGUUUCCUUUCGGUCGUAAGAUGUAUGUUAAAUGUUUGGAUUACAAAGUCUUUGUUUUCAAAAUUUACCAGAAAAUACAGUUUACCAUCCUAGAUACCCCUUUAA